ensembl:lncRNA LOC102549277 uncharacterized LOC102549277
CCCACUUCUGACUGGCAAGUGGAUGAUAGACAAGAGGAGCAGGAAGGAGAAGGCUUCUCGUUCCAGGAUCACACAUCUAACUCCGGAGGACACAGAUCUCACCCUGGUGAGCCCGGCUCUCGACUCCUUUCCAUUUCUCCCAAGUGUGAUGAAAGUGUUAGUGUCCUAGGACUACAGCAAGAAACACCACACGGAGAAAAUACGUCAUGUCAAUGUGGACCCAAGAAGUAGUGAUGAGUAAUGCAGCAGACCAUGAGACACUCGAACAUCAAAGACACGUGACACCAGGACAGGGCAGACAGCUGUUUCCAUCACCUAUGACAAAUGAAACUGAGACAAAGAUUCACUGGGAGCCACAGCUUUGCCGUGAGAAAUUGGAGCUCUGACAGACACCGACUGACUACAGCAUAGUCAGGACCAGUGCAUUUGCUACCCUAGAGGACAGCUCGUAACUCGUCAAUCUUGCCACUAUUGAUGUCUGGACCAUUAAUGCCUUUCCUUAGGGCUGCCCCGUGUACGAAAGGAUGCCUACCAGCACUGCUGUC